AGUGAACGCUGGCGGUAGGCCUAACACAUGCAAGUCGAACGGCAGCACAGUAAGAGCUUGCUCUUACGGGUGGCGAGUGGCGGACGGGUGAGGAAUACAUCGGAAUCUACUUUUUCGUGGGGGAUAACGUAGGGAAACUUACGCUAAUACCGCAUAAGAACUACGGGUGAAAGCAGGGGAUCUUCGGACCUUGCGCGAUUGAAUGAGCCGAUGUCGGAUUAGCAAGUUGGCGGGGUAAAGGCUCACCAAGGUGACGGUCCGUAGCUGGUCUGAGAGGAUGAUCCGCCGCACUGGUACUGAGACACGGUCCAGACUCCUACGGGAGGCACCGGUGGGGAGUAUUGGACAAUGAGCGCAGGCCUGUUCCAGCCAUACCGCGUGGGUGAAGAAGGCCUUCGGGUUGUAAAGCCCUUUUGUUGGGAAAGAAGAGCAGCAGGUUAAUGCCCCACUGUUCUGACGGUACCCAAAGGAUAAGCACCGGCUAACUUCGUG
rnacentral:rRNA from 1 species